AAGACCUUGCGCUUUUGGAGCGGCCGAUGUCUGAUUAGCUAGUUGGUAGGGUAAUGGCCUACCAAAGCUUCGAUCAGUAGCUGGUCUGAGAGGACGACCAGCCACACUGGGACUGAGACACGGCCCAGACUCCUACGGGAGGCAGCAGUGGGGAAUUUUGGACAAUGGGCGCAAGCCUGAUCCAGCCAUGCCGCGUGAGUGAAGAAGGCCUUCGGGUUGUAAAGCUCUUUCAGCCGGGAAGAAAAGGCUACGACGAAUAAUCGUAGCUCAUGACGGUACCGGAAGAAGAAGCACCGGCUAACUACGUGCCAGCAGCCGCGGUAAUACGUAGGGUGCGAGCGUUAGUCGGAAUUACUGGGCGUAAAGCGUGCGCAGGUGGUUUUGUAAGUCAGAUGUGAAAGCCCCGGGCUCAACCUGGGAACU
rnacentral:rRNA from 1 species